rnacentral:sRNA from 1 species
UUGGUUUAAACCGCUUUAUUGGAGUUGGCUGGUACUCACAGGUUGGGUCAUAUACACAGGGCCCGCUCACCCCUAGGCAAAGCCCUGGGCCUCCCACCUCCCCUCCAUCACCGAGGGUGGCCAGAGGUUUGAGCCAGUUCCGGGGCGGGGUGGGCCCAGUAGAAAUAUUUACAAACCACCAGGGUGGGUGUCCCCUGAUCGGGAAUGGGGAUGGGAUAAGUGGAGGGGGUCCCUUGGAUGGACUUCACAGGCCCGAGAAGGGGCUGGGCGUGGGGGUGUUGCCGGCAGAGGGGGGCUCGGGGAGAGCCUCGGGGGGGCCCUGAGCGAGCCUGCUGGUGCUAACUCUGCCUGGCGAGGCAGCCUCCCGCGUGGGACUGGUGGGGCUCCGCCUCCCUGGGGGGCCCGGAGCGGGUUCCAGGUAGAAUGAGGAGAAACAGGAGCAUGCCCCCCCCCCCCCCCCCGGCCCGGCUCCUCACCAGGGGGCUGGCCGCGAGGACGGGGUGCAAGAGGCGGAGCCGGGAGGGGGAUAAGCAA